CCUACGGGUGGCUGCAGUGGGGAAUAUUGCACAAUGGGCGCAAGCCUGAUGCAGCCAUGCCGCGUGUGUGAAGAAGGCCUUCGGGUUGUAAAGCACUUUCAGCGGGGAGGGAGGCGGUGAGGUUAAUAACCUCAUCGAUUGACGUUACCCGCAGAAGAAGCACCGGCUAACUCCGUGCCAGCAGCCGCGGUAAUACGGAGGGUGCAAGCGUUAAUCGGAAUUACUGGGCGUAAAGCGCACGCAGGCGGUCUGUCAAGUCGGAUGUGAAAUCCCCGGGCUCAACCUGGGAACUGCAUUCGAAACUGGCAGGCUAGAGUCUUGUAGAGGGGGGUAGAAUUCCAGGUGUAGCGGUGAAAUGCGUAGAGAUCUGGAGGAAUACCGGUGGCGAAGGCGGCCCCCUGGACAAAGACUGACGCUCAGGUGCGAAAGCGUGGGGAGCAAACAGGAUUAGAUACCCGGGUAGUC
rnacentral:rRNA from 1 species